AGGGUACGUAGGUUGUUUUUUAUUUUAAAAAAGAAAAUGCUGAGACUCCAUUUUAGAACUAACUUUUAAAAAUUUAAACUAGAGCACAAGGCAGGUUAAUGGUACUUUUAGUGUAAAGGUGAUAUUUGUUGAUAUUAAGAGGACCCGCAUUUGGCGAAGGCUAUUAACUAGUUUGUUGCUGACACUAAUGUACGAAAGCAUAGGGAGCGAAAAGGAUUAGAUACCCAAUUAGUCUAUGCUGUCAACGAUGGAUGUUAAUUUUUGUUUUAUAUUAAGCAGUUAUUAAAGACUAACGACGUUAAACAUCCCGCCUGGAGAGUACGAUCGCAAGAUUGAAGCUCAAAGGAAUUGGCUGAGAUUUAGGCAAGCGGUGGAGCAUGUGGUUUAAUCCGAUAGUACGCGU
rnacentral:rRNA from 1 species